rnacentral:rRNA from 1 species
AGAGUUUGAUCAUGGCUCAGGAUGAACGCUAGCUACAGGCUUAACACAUGCAAGUCGAGGGGAACGACAUCGAAAGCUUGCUUUUGAUGGGCGUCGACCGGCGCACGGGUGAGUAACGCGUAUCCAACCUGCCCACCACUUGGGGAUAACCUUGCGAAAGUAAGACUAAUACCCAAUGAUAUCUCUAGAAGACAUCUGAAAGAGAUUAAAGAUUUAUCGGUGAUGGAUGGGGAUGCGUCUGAUUAGCUUGUUGGCGGGGUAACGGCCACAAGGCGACGAUCAGUAGGGGUCUGAGAGGAAGGUCCCCANAUUGGAACUGAGACACGGUCCAAACUCUACGAGAGGCA